GAAGUUCUUUUUUUUCCAUUUGCGGAUAAUGUUAGGAAGGUUUACGACGCAAAUGAACAGAACAUGGAGGCCAGCAAGCCUAAUGACGAACGAGAUCCAUCGUGUUUAUUCAUAGAACAGGCGCCUCUCCACACAAGGUAUACAUACGAACAAUGCAGUAUGUGGGUACGUAUAUGGUACAAAAGAAUAAGCGAUAAUAGCACACACACAGCUUGUUCGCUGCGGCUUGCUGCGGCUGCAAUCCGGCUGCGGCUGCGGCUUCUACAGUAUUUUUCUCUCUAUGGAUUGCAGCUGCAGCAAUCCAAACAGCUGCAACAGUGUCGGCUUGCAGCCAGCCGAACACGCCCACAGAUCGCAACGGCCACCAGGGACAGGGACACAACCACACACACCCCAUCACCGCUACUUCUAGUGCUAGCUAAGACGAAAACGAACAGGGUCCAACCCAACCCCGGUUCAGCAGCGAACCGGCACGUCCACGGCAGCGCCUACUGCAUGAGGCCACCGGCGACGAGGACGGAUAAGACGACAGAGCAAGCCACAUCCAGGGCCGACGCCGCGGCCCCCGCUGCCGCGCCCGUGACGGGCGCCGGCGCGGGCGGCACUCCCAGGUCCGUCUCCUGCGCCGACGCCGCGGCGAACAGCACUGCCGCCACGGCCACGGCCACGAGCAGCGCUGCGGCGCGGGACGCCAUCGUGGGCAGAUCGAGGCGACAACACGGACCGCGAGAGCGCGUAGUGGCGGCGGCGGCGGCUAAGCUAAAGCGAGGCAGAGGAGAGGAAGAGGAAGGGGCGGCGUGGGGUGGUGAGACGGGGACGGCGUGGACAGGCGGUGUAUAUAAGGAGGUGGCGUGGCGUGUGCACGCCGGUCGCGGUCGCGGCCACGGCCCGCGUGGGCACCGGGCGCUCGCGUCGCGUGUCUAGGCGCGCCGCGUCGGGCG
rnacentral:misc_RNA from 1 species